UAAUACGUAGGCGGCAAGCGUUAUCCGGAUUUAUUGGGCGUAAAGAGGGCGUAGGCGGUUUUUCAAGUCGAUUGUGAAAUCUCCCGGCUUAACUGGGAGGGGCCAGUCGAUACUGUUAGACUAGAGGGCAGCAGGGGGAGGCGGAAUUCCCGGUGUAGUGGUGAAAUGUGUAGAUAUCGGGAGGAACACCAGUGGCGAAGGCGGCCUCCUAGGCUGUUUCUAACGCUGAGGCCCGAAAGCGUGGGGAGCAAACAGGAUUAGAUACCCUGGUAGUCCACGCCGUAAUCGAUGGACACUAGGUAUAGGGAGUAUCGACCCUCUCUGUGCCGAAGCUAACGCAUUAAGUGUCCCGCCUGGGGAGUACGGCCGCAAGGCUA
rnacentral:rRNA from 1 species